CGGGGCGGUAUUUAAGGCCGCGGGAGGCGCCGCACGCCCCUCUCUCUCUCUCGCCGUUGCCUGUCGCUGCGUGCGCGGCCCAGGCACCCCCGGCGGCGGCCGAAAGGGCCCCUCGGGACUGGCAAGGCCUUCCAAUGCUCCCGGAGGCGUUUGUCCGGCUGCUGCCGGCGCGGGCGGGAGGCAAAGCAGAGGCGGCCUUGCCCGUGGGAGCGCUGGGGAGCCCGAGCCGUGCCUUUGAACGCCCCUAGGUAAGGGGGCACAGAGACCUCAUCGCGCACCUCACAUCCCGGGGCUGGUUAGAUAUGGAUGAUCACACCUAAAUUAGAAGUAAUGCUCAGGACUUAUUAGGAAUGAAUAAUACCUUCUGUCAGAAGGUUUCUUGAAUGUAUUGGUGCUUUAUGUGAUAAACGAUAAACGUCUUGAGUGAGAAGAAUUCCUUGUAAACUGGUUGGCUUCCAGGGAGGAAACCAGCAUGUGCAAGGGAUUUGGACUGAUAUUAAACAUUGGCUUUUUUGAUUUUUA